rnacentral:rRNA from 1 species
GACGAACGCUGGCGGCGUGCUUAACACAUGCAAGUCGAACGGAAAGGCCCUGCUUUUGUUGGGUGCUCGAUUGGCGAACUGGUGAGUAACACGUGAGUAUCCUGCCCUUGACUUUGGGAUAACUUCAGGAAACUGGGGCUAAUACCUGAUAGGAGCUCCUGCUGCAUGGUGUGGUUUGGUAAUUUUCGGCGGUUGGGGAUGGUCUCGCUGCUUAUCAGCUUGUUUGUGGGGUAGUGGCUUACCAAGGCUUUGACGGGUAGCCGGCAUGAGAGGGUGAACGGCGAAAAUGGGACUGAGAGAGGGCGCAGAAUGCAACGGGAGGCAGCAGUGGGGAAUAUUGCACAAUGGGCGGAAGGGUGAGGAAGAAAAGCAGCGUGCGGGAUGAAGGCCUUAGGGUUGUAAACAGAUUUAGAAUGUGACGAAGAGUGAGUGACGGUAAUGGGUAAAGAAGCACCGGCUAACUACGUG